rnacentral:lncRNA from 1 species
CAUCAUACGAACCCGGCCCUCUAGUGAGGGACUCGGUGAAAUAGUUAUCACAUCAUCUCCGUCAUCAUCAUCAUCAUAACCAUCCUCAUCACCAAUCAUAUAUAUAAUAUACGUACCCGGCCCUCUAGUGAGGGACUCGGUGAAAUAGUCAUCACAUCAUCUCCGUCAUCAUCAUCAUCAUAACCAUCCUCAUCACCAAUCAUAUAUAUAAUAUACAUACCCGGCCCUCUAGUGAGGGACUCGGUGACAUAUGCAAGAAACUCCGCACGAACAUUACCCGGCCCGGGACUCGGUGAAAUGAUAAAUGACUCUAUGCAGGAGCAGAAUAUUAUGAGCAACCAUAUGCAAUUAAAAUCAUUUUUUAUAACUCAAUAGAACAAUCAACG